CUUUGUUGUACUUCCAUCAUCAAUCUUAUACUAUGGCUGUAUCAUUUCUACCAUAUAACGUGCAGUGUUCAAAGACUGUCAAGAUAUAUCACUAACAGGAGAAAGUAACGUAAUACCUGUGGAAAAUAACGAGAUCAAAUCUAACGUUAACUUGGUUUAUUUUACUUGGAUAUAACAAACUCACAAAAGCGCUCAAUAUUACGAACAAUUUCAAUACAUUUUUUAGAAUGAGAAUACGGUUACAUAGUCGGAUCUCAGGGUGAAAAAGUACAUCGUCGUAGAGCCUUCCGGUUGCGAUCUCCUAGUCGGUUAGUAAAAAUGGACGAUAAGGGUGAAGUGAAUGAAAAUGAAUCUCGUAAAGGGGAAGCUAAUGAGAAAGAAACAAAAUCGAAGAGUUCAAAGAAGAGAAAUCGUCGGAAGAAAGGAGGCGGUGGAGGUGAUAAGAUGUUGGAUUCGAUGUUGGAUGAAUCAGAAAUUCAAGCGGGAUGCAACAUAUCACUCCAAGAGAUCCGGAAAGCAGUGGAGGUUUUGUCAUUCCAACAGAAACCAGCCAAGACAACAGAAGAGGCUCUUCAAAAACAGUAUCAGUUUUGGAAUACUCAACCUGUACCUAAGAUGGAUGAGAAAAUAACAUGCAAUGAGCCAAUUGAACCUGAGAAGGGGGCUUCGGAUAUUCGUCCAGAGCCAUAUUCACUGCCUGAUGGUUUCCAGUGGGAUACAUUGAAUCUUGAUGAACCUCUUGUACUGAAAGAGCUAUAUAUGCUGUUGAAUGAAAACUAUGUGGAAGACGAUGAUUCCAUGUUCCGCUUUGAUUAUCCUCCAGAAUUUCUUAAGUGGGCACUCCAGCCUCCUGGAUGGCGUCGAGAUUGGCACUGUGGUGUCCGUGUGAUAAAGAGUGGGCGACUAGUAGGUUUUAUUAGUGCCAUACCUGCUACACUUAGGAUAUAUAACCAUUCACAGAAGAUGGUAGAAAUCAACUUUUUGUGUGUGCAUAAAAAGCUUCGUUCAAAGAGAGUAGCCCCUGUAUUGAUUCGAGAAAUUACUCGGCGGGUAAAUCUUACUGGGAUAUUUCAAGCUGUGUACACUGCAGGAGUUGUUCUGCCUAAACCUGUUGGAACUUGUAGGUACUGGCAUCGUUCUUUGAACCCCAAGAAGUUGAUUGAAGUAAAGUUCUCACAUUUAAGCCGAAACAUGACCAUGCAGCGAACACUGAAACUCUAUAAGCUUCCAGAGAAAACACGGACAGCUGGCUUCCGCAAAAUGAUUGCUGCCGACCUUCCUCGAGCACAUAGACUUUUAGCUGAGUAUUUGACAAGAUUUGAUCUAGCACCUACAUUCUCGGAAGAGGAUUUCCGACAUUGGUUCCUGCCACAGGCUGGUAUUGUUGAUAGCUAUGUUGUGGACAAUGGCUCAGAACUCACAGACCUUGUGAGCUAUUAUACUUUACCAUCCACUGUUAUGCACCACCCAGUCCACAAGACAUUGAAGGCAGCAUACUCAUUCUACAAUGUUUCCACAACAACUAGUUUGGUGGAUCUCAUGGGUGAUGCCCUUGUUUCUGCCAAAAAUAGUGGCUUUGAUGUUUUCAAUGCACUAGACCUCAUGGAGAACAAGGAGUUUCUGGAGACACUGAAGUUUGGAAUUGGUGAUGGGAAUCUUCAGUACUACCUAUACAAUUGGCGUUGUCCAUAUAUUUCACCCAAUAAAAUUGGCCUGGUGCUUCAGUAACAGUGUGGUCUGGUGAUACUGUAGCAGUGUGAACAAAUAUUAGUUCUCAGAAGAAAUAAAAAUCUUCAACAUGUCACAUAAAAUAAAGUUAAAACUCGUUAACUUCUCACAUACCUUUAUCCCAUACUAUUUCACACUGAUGGAGUUAAAUCACUUACUAAUAGUAAAGGAGGACACAGAGGAAGAGAGACAGUAUUUUAUUUCACAUGCAGAGGACAUAUACAUUAAUACAGUCAUAACAAAGCAUUGUGUUAACAAAAACAAAAGUAAAGAAAUAUUAGCAUUGUUAAAUAUCUGUUCAUAGAACAGAAAGAAUUGAUUAUAGUAGGGUACAAAAUCAGCUGGUGGCAGUAAGAUAUAGAGACUAAGUACAGGAAAUUGGUUGUGCAAACCAAAGGCUGUUUAUAAUCAAGAUAUUUUCAGUUUGCAUAUGCUUGGGUUUGAGUUAUGUUAAAAAACUGUGAGAACUUGUAAAUGUAAAUUUCUGUGAAGUACAGUACUACUAGUAUAAUGAGAGAUGGAUCAAAAAGCUCAUUGUAGCCAAGAAACUGUGGUACAUUGUUAUGAUAUUGACUCUGUUUUACCCUUUUUACUAGGUUUAUUGUUCUUUUAUUCUAAUAACAUUUCUCAACCAUCUGAAAAAAGUGGUUGUCACAGUUAUAAAAUGAAUAAAUUUAAAUAUAUCAACAGAGCCAUUAAUAGGUGAUUCACAGAAGCAUGCAGGAAUCAUUGCAUGUUGAAAACAUUUUGUUAUGCAUAAUUACUUAUUCUCCCUAAUUUUGUAUAGAUGUAAGUAGUGUGACAUGAAGAAGCAUGUCAUCUGGUUGGUAUAGGAACAUUAUGGAACAACAAUGAGAAUAUGUGGCCGGAUUUAAUUAAAAGAUAAUGCUUUUAAUGCUGAUGAGGCUCAUUUUUGUCAAUAGGGACUAAUUAUGUACUAUUGGUCAACAGUACUAUGCAACUUCUUCUGUUACUUAUUCAUGUACAGUGAUGAAAUUAAUUACUCAGUAUGUAAAGAUUACAUUAUGUGUGCAUUAAUGAAAACAAUUGAUAACAGAACCAGAACUAUGUUUGGUGAAAAAAAAAAUUGUGUCCGUCAGAAUUCCAGAUAUUCAAAUGCAAUUGUAUUGUUUUCUGAAAACUUCUCAUCAUCCAUGAAAUGUACAUUUAGCACAAAUUGUAUGUCACGGUAGGGACCUGUGACCAACUCUUGUGAACAUGAUUCUCAACACCAUGGAGUUACUUGUCAUUAAGAUAGAUUUUAUUUUAUAAAACUUCCUGGUGAUAUUAAUAAAAUUUAACAAACACUUCUUUCUUACUUUAUGUAAAUUUGGAGUUCUAAUGGAUAAUUUGGACCAAAAGAAAGAAUUCCUGACAAGUUAUAUUUUUUUUACUUUCCAUACCAAAUUUAAUCCAAACCAGUUAGGUGUUACUAAGUUUAUGAUGUGUGUAUAUAAUGCUUGAAAGUAUGCAAAUUCAUGUUGACAUGGUAUUUCUAUGUGACUCAAUUUUUAAGAUCAUUUGAUUGAAUUCUUACUGUAAAAUUAGAUUUUGAGGUGUACUGAAGUUUAUUGUUAUGGUAUUAUGCUGUCUAUCAUGGUUAAAAAAUGUGGCUAUUUAAUGGAAAAGUAAAUAUAUUAUGUUAGUAGCCUCAUAAUUCAGAUGUUACAUAUUAUGUGAAUGAAUGCCUGAAAUGACAUAUUUUAUGUAUUAUAUAUAUUAGCUGUACCCUUAAAAAGUUCUACUUUCCUUCCGAAUUUCUGAAAACUGUAAAUAUACUUUCAGUAAAGCAAAACAUCUUUAAUAUUUAUAAAAUUA